AUUGAACGCUGGCGGCGUGCUUGACACAUGCAAGUCGAACGAGAACGGAUUAUAGCUUGCUAUAAUUGUCAGCUAAGUGGCGCACGGGUGAGUAAUGUAUAGGUAAUAUGCCUCUUACUAAGGGAUAACAAAUGGAAACGUUUGCUAAUACCUUAUACUCCUUAUUAACAGGAGUUACUAAGGGAAAGAUUUAUUGGUAAGAGAUUAGCCUGUAUUGUAUCAGUUAGUUGGUGGGGUAAUGGCUUACCAAGACUAUGACACAUAACUGGUUUGAGAGGAUGAUCAGUCACACUGGAACUGAGACGCGGUCCAGACUCCUACGGGAGGCAGCAGUGGGGAAUAUUGCACAAUGGACGAAAGACUGAUGCAGCAACGCCGCGUGGAGGAUGACACAUUUCGGUGCGUAAACUCCUUUUAUAUGAGAAGAUAAUGACGGUAUUAUAUGAAUAAGCACCGGCUAACUCCGUGCCAGCAGCCGCCGUAA
rnacentral:rRNA from 1 species